CAGGUUCCUGUAUGAUCACAGAAAUUAAGCAACAUUGAGCCUGGUCAGUGCUUAGAUGGGUGACCAUUUGGGAAUGCUAGGUGCUGUA